rnacentral:tRNA from 1 species
GGGCCAUUAGCUCAUUUGGUAGAGCGCUUCCAUGGCAUGGAAGAGGUGGGGAGUUCGAUUCUCCCAUGGUCCA